AGUGAACGCUGGCGGUAGGCCUAACACAUGCAAGUCGAACGGCAGCACAGUAAGAGCUUGCUCUUACGGGUGGCGAGUGGCGGACGGGUGAGGAAUACAUCGGAAUCUACUUUUUCGUGGGGGAUAACGUAGGGAAACUUACGCUAAUACCGCAUACGACCUACGGGUGAAAGCAGGGGAUCUUCGGACCUUGCGCGAUUGACUGAGCCGAUGUCGGAUUAGCUAGUUGGCGGGGUAAAGGCCCACCAAGGCGACGAUCCGUAGCUGGUCUGAGAGGAUGAUCAGCCACACUGGAACUGAGACACGGUCCAGACUCCGACGGGAGGCGGCAGUGGGGAAUAUUGGACGAUGGGCGCAAGCCUGAUCCAGCCAUACCGCGUGGGUGAAGAAGGCCUUCGGGUUGUAAAGCCCUUUUGUUGGGAAAGAAAAGCAGCAGGUUAAUACCCCGCUGUUCUGACGGUACCCAAAGAAUAAGCACCGGCUAACUUCGUG
rnacentral:rRNA from 1 species